rnacentral:lncRNA from 1 species
ACUGCCAUUCAGUGCCACGGUGGGGCAUGGUACCACACCCCUCUUUGUGGUCACUUCAGUGUGUACUCUAGUGUGUACACCGUUAGGUCUCAAACCCUGGGCAAACAGCUAACUAAGGUGCUUAUUACCAUUUAAAGCCGACGCUGGCUGCCAGGUUCUCCCAGCAUCUUCUCAGUCCCUACCUGUUACAGGGUCCUCCUGGUUGGUAUACCCUGUCCUUUACCCCAACCCAAACUUGUCCAGCCCUGGGACUAGGCUGAGCUUCCCUCUCCCCAGCUUCUCUGGCUCAUAUAUAACUCAUUCAUUUUGACUAUGCCAGACACUUGGCAAGUCUGUUGGAUCAGGUUGACUGCCCGUCUCUCUCCCCCUCUCUACUUACAUGGCCCUGCUCAGCCUGACUACAUUCACUCUGGACUCUCUCUGAUGUCUCUGUCUCUGCCUGUUUUCCCCUUAUAUCUAUAAUGAAAGCUUCAACCCCUGAGAAGCCAUCAUGGCCUCUUUUUUUUUCUCUCUCUCUCUUACUUUUUAUUUUAAAUUUAAACACUACUUCCUAUUUUUCUCAGUGGAGCUGGAGUCUGGUGAUCAUCGCCCUAUGGGAUAUUGUGCCUUCUCAGCACACAGGGCCUAUUGAGGGCCUAUAUAAGGACAUUUGUCUAAAGCAGCUGGAGACCACACAUCUAUUUCUUGAGAGAGAGAGAGAGAGAGAGAGAGAGAGAGAGAGAGAGAGAGAGAGAGAGAGAGACCCUGGUACACAUCCCUGCUUCAGCUCAUGGGGCCAUCCACAAGAAAGUCUAGUGGUAGUAUAAGCCUCUUCCCUAACACCAAAGUGCUUUGAAUCCAAAGAAUAUCUGGCUUCCAGGUCCGGAAAUCUAGCAUUUAAAGCACAGGCUGCUGUAGCCAAGUCCCAUCCCAGGAAGCGUCAACAUUCUCCUGGUCUGGGCCCUCCUGCCAGGCUGAGUCAUUUCACCUGAAUCACUGCACACGGUUUCCUUCAAAACUCAACUUCUUAGAAGUUUGACUCUCUAUUCUCCUCCUCCGAAUAUCCCUCUCAACACUUUUUAAAAUUUUGUUUUUAUUUAUGAGCAUUGAUUGGUAUUUUGUCUGAAUGCAUGUGUAAGGAUGUCAGAUCCCCUGAAACAGGAGUUACAAACAGUUGAGCUGCUAUGUGGGUGCUGGGAAUCGAACCCAGGUCUCUGGAAGAGCAGUCAACAUUCUUUUUUUUUUUUUUAAUUGUGAAAAAUCUUUAUUACUGUCUCUUGUGGUAAAAUAAUAUCUUAUACAAAUAGAAUCACCUGAUUUGUUUUGGACUGAAGAUUUUAAGGACAGAGAUGUUUCCUAUUUCUGUGAAAAAUAGAUUUACAGGGAAAAUGGACUUUCACAACUUAAAUGACAGUAUCGUAAAGGCCGUGAUCCCUCACGAACAAGAGGGUGCCCACCUCGUCCAGACUCCCUGUGGCUAUGGUGCUCUGGACAAGGAAUGUGGAUGUUUUCAGAAUCUGAGUCUAUGGCCCACUCCAGACAUGGCAAAGUGCUGUCCCUAGGAAAUCAGAUGCCCGGGGCCAGGAGAAGCUUCAGGAGGCUCAUAUGAGCCAGCGUUGGGCUAACCUGAGACAAGAGCUUAUGUCAGCCCAAGUACUGGCCAUCUUUAUUCCUGUAUUUACGGUUCAGAAGGGCAGCUCAGCCCCAAUACAUGGGGCAAGGAUGGAGAUGGAGCAGAACUUUGCCUCAUACCAGGAAGGGUUCAGCCCAGGGCGGGGACGAGGUCCCCAGGGGCUGCCAUCCUCUCAGAUUACUGUUCUGGGCAUGGGGCAUGCAUGCCCGACCCCCAAGCACUGAUUCCCUCUUCCGCUGCAUCACAGGAAGCCACUGUAGCCACUGGUGUUCCUGGACAGUUUGACUUCUGACUCGGCUUCUGCUUGUUCAGUUAUUUACAAAGUAUGACUUCCAGUUUACUCAAGUCAGGCACAAAAGUUGGAAUUUCAAACUCUAGCAAACAGCAAGCUGCUUCCCUAAGCAGUCAGACACGGACCGCUGGCCCUUCAGAAGCUAAAGACUGCUCCAUCCUACCAGGAUGACUGAGCACCCGGCCUCAGUGUGCUCUGAGAACAGGCUGAAGAGAAAGGGGAUGCAGCCCUUCUCCAGCCAGUAGUGUGGCCAGCUCCUCCAUGAGGGCUCUCCAAGCAAAGCCAGCAUGACAGGCAGGAGACAGCGUGCCAGAAAACAGGAGCGUCCUAUGCUGCACGCUACAAAGCUAAGGCCACGCAGCUCGCAGAAGCACACGCUAGGCAGUAUUUACUGAUACACUGGGUACCAAACACCUCCCGGACUCUGGAAUAGAGCAAAGACUCUGAGGCUUGUCAAGAGCAUGGAAAGCUCACCAGACGAGCCAUGUGAGGAAAGGCAGAGAGACACUAAUGUCUGUAUGCAGGUGAGGGAGAUUGGCCCCGCAGCUCCCAGCAGCACAUGGGGCAGAGCCACACUUAAGGCACCUAGAGUUGGAAUGGACUCCAGUUCUGAGAUCCACUGGAAUGGUCAGGAGGUGCCCACCAUAGGGCACCUGGGCCCCCUAUCUAUCUCAGUGGGUAAAUGCAGUGCAGCCAACAUUCUUAACCAUUGAGUCAUCUCUCCAGCCCUUGUGUCAUCACUCUUUAACCCAUGUCAUCCAUCCACUGUGUUUGCAGCCACUGUGUCUUACAAAUCUGACCGCCUGAGAUUUUUUUCAGGAUCCACAAUAUACAAUGGGACUAUGGAGACAAAUUUAGACAGGGCCCCUUUCAAACAUCUAAAGAGUGAAGGAGACAAAGUUAACUCUGAGGUACACAGCAGAGGCUCAAAGGAGGCAAAGAGAAGAAUGAAGAAGUACUAACCAAGUCAAAAACAAUACUAAAGAGCUAAGGGAUGGCUCAGGUUGCCAAAAUAGUGCUCCUACAAGACUUCAAGGCCAAGAGAACAGCUAAAAAGCCCGGGGAAAUUUCUAUUUCUUAUCUCUGAACAGCUAUUUCAUUCUUUUCUGUCUGCAAAGCAAUUCCUAGUCUCCUGGCCGAUCUAUUGUCUGCAUUUGCAUGACAUACACAGUUCAUCAGGACCAGCAUGAUGGUCCUAUAACACAGAGGUGCCAGCCAGAGCACACCCCUUUCAAAAUAGGUAGCCCCAAUCCCAGCAGCCAGUGGGCUGGGUUUCAACACAGAGAAAAAUAAAGUUGCUUCCACGUGUAGGUUUUGAACUGACCUUCGUUGCUUCGCCACUAAGCUCUCUGCCCUGACAGGAAAUCCCAAGCCACUUAAACCCUCGUAUUCCUAGGUCAUUUUUUGUCAACAGGUAUUCCUGGAAAACCUUAGCUCAAAAAUGUUCUCAGUAUCUGCUCUGUUCAGAGGCUACCCCUGCUCCCAGCCUUCUCCCUGGUGUCUGGCUUCAUACGUGGGCAUAUAUAUUUAGUUGCUCAUCCUAUGGAGCCGCUGGCCCAGUCACUCAAGAACUUCUUCCAAGCUCUUCCUAAUUCCUUUUCCCUUCAGCUUGUUUCUAAAGGGCACCGCUACCAUAAACAGUGGUUAUACCUCUGACCUUAGCCAGACCCAAGUUCCAUAGAGAGCAUGCACUGCCAAGGACAUAGAAUAUAGAAACCCUACCCCUGAGAGCUGCAAGGAGUCUGACAAAGCACGUUUCAGAUGCAGGUGGCCCAGACUCUGGAGUUAGGUCCAGGUUUGGAGCUAGGGCAUGGCUUGUUUUCCUAGAAAGCAGAAGCUGAACCUUGCCUCUCAUCUCAAAGUCACACAGAGAGAGGUACCUUUCUAGGACCCGACUUAACGAUAGCAGUGCCUCACAAGUUUUGUAAGUAAACCUGUCACCUUGACUCACAUCUAUCAUCAUAGUAAGCAUUGGUCUUCACUCGACUAAACACUCAAGAGAAGGGGGUGGAUAAAGUGGUAAGAAAAAUAAGAUGUUAUUUCCUAUCCAUUAUAAUUCUGUUUGGAGACUAUCCAAACUGGCAAGUUAUAGGUCUGUUGUCAUUUGCAUGCUCAUAAGUCAGGACCUCUGAGAAGUAAAAAAAGAAAAAGAAAAAAAGAAAAAUAGGCCCUGAUUUCUAGCACUUGUUAAUUCCUCUAGUAUACAUAUUCCCACCAUGGGAACCACUAUGAUAUCACUGAGCAAGGUAUGUGACCAGGGAAAUGUAGAAUGUGUGUCAGUGGUUCUCACAAUCCAGGUAGCCAGCAAUGGUAUGCCCACUCAAUCCCCAGUCCGUUCCUUGGGUUGUUUUUUUUUUUUUAAUCCACAUAACUGAGAUAUAAGUUGAGUAACUUUAUGUGUGGCGGCUAUGCAGCCCUGUGUCGCCUGUCUACAGAGAUUGGUUGCAUACACUGUUGUGUGGCUCCCUUGAUCUGAUGACACGACCUGCCACUUUUCUGGAGUGAGCUAUAUAUUGGUGAGCCUCCUUUCACACCAGUACCUCUCUUCACCUCCUUAAUUUCUACCUCUGGGUCUUGCUGCAAGGUUGGUGCCUCAACCUGGAAUCAAAAGGCACCUAAGCGGGAUAGAGGGAUAUCUCAGCCAUUAAGAGCACUGGCUGCCCUUCUAGAGGAUCAGAGUCCAACUCUCAAUACCCACAUGGCAACUCACAACUAUGAUUCCUGUUCCAGGGGAUUUGACUUCUUCACACAUGCAGGCAAAACACCAAAGAACAUGAAAUAAGAGAUAAAAAGGACAUAAGCUUAGUCCUUUCUCCUUCCUCAACCUUGGAGACUCUGACUAAUUUUGGCACAGGAUGUGAGACAGGUGUCGGGGAAGCACUCUCCUCACUUUCUGGAUCCAUCUCCGUUUUCUCGUCAUUUUCUCCAGUCUCUCUUUGUUUCUUGGGAAAUGCCACAUUUUUAAAAGCCUUCCAUUUAUUCAUAGCCAUUUGCUAUGUUUGAAGCUAUUCUGCUUCCUUGGCCUGAAAGCUACUUGAAAAAGUUUCCAGGCCAAGGGAGAGACAAUUUCAAAGGCCCCAAAGUCAGAAAGGAAUCCAGUAUCUAAGAACUAGAAGGAAAGCCUAAGUGUGAGCAAUACAUGUGAAGGGAAAGUGGCAGGGGGCAACUAAGGAGGCCGAAUCUAGGUCAUUCAGGACAUCUAACUAGGUCAAAGAGAGGUUGAAAGAAAAGGUAUCGAUCGGCUCAGGACCCCCAAGACCAAAUUCUCAGCACAAAGGAGAUUUAUUUGCCCCAGAGGGACAGAGAGCAGGGAAUAAGAAAUGAAGCCUUCAGAUAGAUGGAUGAGGGAGAAGGGGAAGGGAACAAGGAAAAGUGGGCAGGGAUGUUUGUCCAGGAGAGGGACAAAGUACUACCUCUAGAUAGAAUGGAGACAGACAUGACCCAUAGGAAAAUGGUGGUUCAUGAAACUCAAGAAGGAAGACCAAAGUGUGGAUACUUCGCUCCUUCUUAGAAUGGGAAACAAAAUACCCAUGGAAGGAGUUACAAAGACAAAGUUCGGAGUUGAGAUGGAAGGAAGGACCAUCCAGAGACUGCCCCACCUGAGGAUCCAUCCCAUAAACAACCACCAAACCCAGACACUAUUGCAUAUGCCAGCAAGAUUUUGCUGUCAGGACCCUGAUAUAGCUGUCUCUUGUGAGGCCAUGCCAAUGCCUGGCAAAUACAGAAGUGGAUGCUCACAGUCAUCUAUUGGAUGGAACACAGGGCCCCCAAUGAAGGAGGUAGAGAAAAUAACCAAGGAGCUAAAGGGGUCUACAACCCUAUAGGUGGAACAACAAUAUGAACUAAUCAGUACCCCCCGAGCUUGUGUCUCUAGUUGCAUAUAUAGCAGAAGAUGGCCUAGUCAGCCAUCAAUGAGAUUAGUGAUCCUUGGCCUUGCAAAGAUUAUAUGCCCCAGAAUAGGUGAAUGCCAGGGCUAGGAAGCAGGAGUGGGUGGGUUGGGGAGCAGGGUGCCAGGGGGGAGGAGGGGGAAGGAGGGUAUAGGGAACUUUCGGGAUAGCAUUUGAAAUGUAAAUGAAGAAAAUAUCUAAUUUUUAAAAAAAGGGAAAUGGUGGUUUAUAAAGACAAAAGAGGAAACCUUGUUUUAGGAUGAGGUGUUUAAUUUUAAUUGACCAUGUUAAUUAGGGUAGCCAAAGGAGGCUUUCAAUUGCUGGACAAUACUUUGUCAGAUAGACCUUGGCAGCCAGCCUGAGUUGGAGGAGGUGGACAAACAAGGGGCUACUCCUUGGUGGCUAGCUUUAGGAAUGUUGUCUAAUGGUUUUAAGCAAGGCAGAAGGAACGGGGAGAUGGGCAAGGACUGCCAGAGUCAUGCUCGCUCCUCAUGCUCGAGCUUGCCAGAGUCCCUUCAGAGAUGAUGCUUGCUUCAGCCGUAAAAAGCAAACACUGCCACACAAGCAAUGGAGCAACACACUGGCUUUUUUUUUUUUUUUCAAAUAUGUAAGAAACCACAUUGUAGUGGGAGCGGCAAAACUCCUUCAGUUGGGUACCUUCCGAGCGCAAGAUGAUAACCAUCUGAGUUACUAACAAGGAGGCAGUGGAGACAGAAGGACUUGAAAUACAUGCCAGGAGUAAAGGAACAGCAGCCCGUGGAUGCUCAUCUGACUGCCAGGGAACACGAUAAGGAGAAGCAAGGGAGGCAGGAGUCAGGAGCUCCCGUUUCCAGCAUGCCACCCUCCAGCUCUGAGCAGCUGAAGAGAGGGAGAGAAGCUGAAAGAAGGGAGCGUGAGGUUGAAUUGACAUGUUUGACAAUGAGGUGAUCACUAGAUGUCCAGGGGAGAUGUCAAGGAUGUAUUAGGCACAGAAGUCCGGAACCCGGAGGCCCAGGUAAGGAUCCCAUGGGCAGGAUUCCUGCCAAGGGCCUCAUUUAAAUUACAACUUGGAAACAGAUGGGGGAAGCUCAGAGCUAAGCUUUAGGAUUCACUCAGAGAUAAAGGGACAAAAGCAGAGGCUAUCUGGGUGACAAGAAAGAAAAAUGCUCAGGACAAACAGUCCCCAAAGAACAUUACAAAGACAAGUCCCAAGAACUGAUCAAAUGCAGCUGAGUUUAAGGUUUCUCCAGUAGCAGCCACUGGCUCUGACAGCCGAGGAGGUCUAAGAUGGGAGUCACUCACCUAAGCUACUUCUGAUGAUACCUGAAGGACAGGAGGCUGAGGAGUCAAUAGGACUUGAAUUCCUGGUGGGAAUGAUUCAGCAGAGAGCAAGGACUGUGGGCAGACAAAAGAGGGACAGAAGACAGAGACAAGCACCCUGAAAGACAAGGAAAGACUGGCCUUUAAUAGGAGCAAGAGGAAGACAGACAAUGUUAUGGUUUUAUAUGCUCAGCCCAUGGAGUGGCACUAUUACAGGGUGUGUGGCCUUGUCAGAGUAGGUGUAUCACUGUGGGUGUGGGCUUAAGAUCUUCAUCCUAGCUGUCUGGAAGCCAGUAUUCCACUAGCAAACCAGAUGAAGAUAUAGAAGUCUCAGCUCCUCCUGCACCAUGCCUGCCUGAAUGCUGCCAUGCUCUUACCUUGAUGAUAGUAGACUGAUCCUCAGAACCUGUAUACCAGCCCCAAUUAAAUGUAUAGGAGUUGCUUUGGUCACGGUGUCUAUUCAUAGCAGUAAAACCCUAACUUAAGACAACAUAGAUGAAAAUGGACUGGUGUACUUGGUUAAGAGAAAAUGACACCUCUGUUCUUGUUGAUUCUAGUUGCCUGAGGAGAAGCAAAGCAAGUCCUUAGAAUAGGUUCUCUUACAAGGAAGGACAAUCUUGAGAGUAAAAUCUUUAUUUAGCCAUUUCCUCGUGUACUAGUGUGCUUUCUAUUGCUGGGAUAAAAACCAAAAGCAACUUAGAAAAGAAAGGGUCUCUUUCCUCUUACAGUUUCCGUAGUCUAUCACUGAGGAGAGCCAAGACAAAAAGCUCAAGGCAAGAACUGAAGCAGAGACUACAGGGGAACACUAUUGACUGGCCUGCUUUCUUAUACAACUGAGGACCACACCUGCCCAGGGAUAUCAGCUGCCCACAGUGGGGAAUUGAUCACUAAUCAAGAAAAAAAGCACUGAGAAUUUGCCUCCAGGCCAAUGUGAUGAAGGAAUUUUCUCAAAGGAGGUUCCCUUUAUCCAGAGGCUUCUAGCUUAGGUGAGCUUGAAAAGAAAGAAAGAAAGAAAGAAAGAAAGAAAGAAAGAAAGAAAGAAGAGAAGAGAGAAGAGAAGGGGAGAGGGGAGGGGAGGGGAGAGAGGAGAGAGGAGAGGAGAGGAGAGGAGGGGAGGGGAGGGGAGGGGAGAGGAGAGGAGAGGAGAGGAGAGGAGAGGAGAGGAGAAGAGAAGAGAAGAGAAGAGAAGAGAAGAGAAGAGAAGAGAAGAAAGAGAAGACCCAUGCUACCGUCACCCGGAGGGGUCUUGGUCCGCUCCCGUGUCAUUUUUCCUAGGGGAAGGACACUAGGACACUCAACCUUCUUGAAAGAUGACAUAUCUCCCAGGAAGAAGCUCAAAUUAGACCGCAAAGCCAUUCCAGUGCAGUGCUUAGCCUCACAACUCUCCUGGGCUGCUAAAGCACACCCGCUCCGCCCCAUGCAGCAAGACUCGCCUCAGGGGUUUGUGGAGCUGGAUGGCCAGCGACCUUAUUGCUUGAGCAUCGAUAACCAUAUAUCGGGGGAGGCACCAUGCUCCAAAGCAACAAGCGCCUGGGUUACUACCAUCCUGUCCCUCCUUUUUUGGGCUUUAAGAUUGCAGAUCAUCCAUAGUAGGAGCAGUACUCCACCGCACACAGCCACUCCAAACAAACCCACCCCCACCCAUUCCUUGAAGUAGGAGAAUGCUGCAGAAAUCCAGGUAGAAAAUCCUUCCGUCAAUGACAGGUCAAGACGUGUCGAAUUGACUUGUAAGAUGGCGAUCCUCAGCUCCUGGAGUGUCUGUUCAAAUUCUAUGGUCCAAUUCUGUAACAAAUGAGACAAAGCCUUUGACAGGUUAGCUACUCUUGUAAAAUUCUCAAAUUGUACUGAGGUGAUACAGGGGCUAGGCAGCUUAUGUUCGCAACCCAGCUGAGCCAUUUGCCAUAGGAUAUCCACCUGCUCUUGGACCAGAUAGAUCCGUUGGUUUGCCAACAUGAGGCCUCCCUGUAUCUGGGAGUUGGCCGUGGCCUGCCUGUCCAGGGCCGAUGUCACUCUUGCCAAAAGGUCAUUGAUGGUUUGCGUUGUCUGAACCGUAGCAGACAAGGCAAGGGCCGAAGCAGUGACAGAGGCAGCUACUGCUGCUGUUACUACCAAGCCAACUAUAAUAGCAGAGAUUCCAAAAUCUCUCUUUUCUCUAAAUAAGCUUAAACUGCUAGGGGCUUCCACAGGAACUGGAACAAAUCUAGGCAUGUGAGUAACCAAAGCAAAGGGAUAUUUAGUAGCAUCCCAACACAGGGCAUAGAAACAUUCAUUAAGCAAGCAAUCUAACUCUAAUUGAUUACUAUUUAAACUUUUAUUACUUACCACCCACAGAAAGGGGGGCCAAACACAAACCGGGGUGACAGUAUAAUUCACCCUUUUAAAUGCUUUAUAUUUAGUAUUAGAGGAGGACCAAUCGAAGGACCCCGAACCAGCACUCAAAGUGCCCUUCCACUCAAAACCCAUUUGGCCCUUUUCACUAUAUCCACCUCCAAUCAUGGCCAUAGGUGAAAAAUCGGUACAGCUCCCAUUAACCCCACAAAGUAACCAUUGAUCAAAAGGGUUAGCAUCUGCCCGAUCAGGAUUCAUGAAGGUAAAAUCAUGUCCAGCAAAGAUUUCAUUAAUCUCUACACUUAUGUAUGGGGAAAAGGAAAAAUAUCCUUCAACCACCCAAGCGGGUUUUCUGGCCUGGCACCCAGUCCAAGAAAGCAUGGAGUCCUCCGAGGAUCUUCCUUUACAAAAGGGUGCCAUUCUGGGUUGCUGGGGUGGUGCUUUCCUGGAUUUACGACUAGGCGACCAGCCUUAGAUUACAGAUGCCUUGGAUUCCACAAUGCCUUGUCCCUGAGGGUUGUAUGGCAAACCAGUUAAAUGAGUUACAUUCAUCUGGCGACAGAACUGUCUGACAUGGGUGAUAUAAACAGGAGAUCUCCUAUGUAAUAAAACAGCCUGUAUUUUUUGAAAAAUAUCAGUGACUUUACUGGAUGAUUUUAUUACCCCAGCAGCCUCUAGAAGGUUAACUGCAUUGACCACAUAGGAGGAAUCUGACACAAUGUUAAGCAGUCCCGGGAAGGCCUUAAGGACCUCCAAAACCACCAAACAUUCCACAAUCUGAGGUGAAGUUUCAUUAUAUUGUUUAGACACUAUUUUGUCAUUGGUCACAUAAGCGCCUACACCAGUUUUUGACCCAUCUGUAUACACUACGAUUCCUUCCGGAAGCGGGUUUUUUGCUGUCACCUGUGGAAACACUAUGGCCUGAUUCAGGGCAAAUUGUAAAAUUGGAUGUCUAGGAUAAUGAUUGUCAAUUUGUUCUAAAAAGGAGGUGACUAAUACUGCCCAGUCAUCAGAUGUAGCCACAAGGACCUGAACUUGUGUGGCAGUAUAGGGAACAAUUAGCAAUUUAGGAUCUCGUCCAAAAUGAGUGACUGCUGUUUUUAAGCCACGAAGCGCAAGUUGCGCAACAGCGUUAGGAUACCAAUCGAUUACUUUUGCCAGAGAAGCAUUGGGAUGGAUCCAUAAUAAUGGUCCAUCUUGCCACAAUACAGCAGUUGGUAACUGAGCUGUCUUAAAGACACACAAGUCGAAAGGUUGUGAUUCCUCAAUAUGCCGUAACUGGGCAUUUUGUAAGGCAUUCUCUACUACUUGCAAGGCUUUAUUAGCCGUAGGAGUAAGGGCUCUGGGGGAGGAGAUAUGUGAAUCCCCCUCUAAAAUAUCAAAUAAAAGUUUAAGCUCGGCAGAGGAAAUCUUUAAAAAAGGCCUAAGCCAAUUUAUAUCCCCCAAUAACUUUUGAAAAUCAUUAAGAGUAUGUAAAUGAUCUUUGCAAAUUUUCAAUUUUUGAGGAAGUAUCUUAUCUGGGAAAAUAAUGUUUCCCAGAAAGGAACCCACUUCCGAAAUCUGAACCUUUUCUGCAGCUAUCUGCAGUCCCCAUUGGGCUAACAUUUUUAUCAAAAUGUUAGGAUUUUUGUAAAAGCAUCAUAUCUUUAUGGCACAAAAGAAUAUCAUCCAUAUAAUGUAACAACAGUAAAGAGGGAAAAUAUUGUCUCACAGGUUCUAAUGCUGACUGUACAAAAAGCUGGCACAUAGUGGGGCUAUUUGCCAUGCCCUGAGGGAGGACUUUCCACUGAAACCUCUUAUCAGGCUCCAUAUGAUUAAGGGCUGGAAUCGUAAAAGCAAAUCUUGGUCGAUCUUGGUGACACAAAGGGAUGGAAAAGAAAAAGUCUUUAAUGUCUAAAAUGACAAUUUUCCAUUGCUUAGGCAGGGCAGAUAACAGAGGUAAACCCCGCUGGAUUGAGCCGAAAAGGUUCAUUUGUGCAUUAAUUGCUCAAAGGCCAUGAAGUAACCUCCAUUUGCCUGAUUUCUUUUUCAUGGCAAAAAUUGGAGUAUUCCACGGGGACGUGGAAGGUUCCAAAUGUCCGAGCUGCACCUGUUCUGUAACUAACUUGUUGACUGCCUCCAAUUUUUCAGAGGAUAGCGGCCAUUGGAAGACCCACACGGGUUCCUCUGUUAUCCAGGGAAUGGGUCUUGUAACACCAACGACCCCUAGGAAAAACCCAAGCCCCGUCUGCCUGGGUUACCGUUGUGGGAGACAGGCUCAAGUCUACCUUGUUCUUUGCUUCCCAAUCCCUUUCCCUUUUGUGUACUCUGUCUUCUUCAUAAUAUUAGCGGCCUGAACUGAGUAUUCAUUGGUUAAUGUGAUUCCCAUCUCAGAAAGCACAUCUCUGCCCCAUAGGUUAACCAGCAGCGAGAGCACAUAUGGAGUAAACAGGCCCCUCUGUCCUUCUGAGGUUUGCCAUGUCAGGGUGGAUGAACUAAUCGCUGGGCAAGAUUGAUAACCCAGGCCUUGUAAAGAAUGAGAAGAUUUUGUAACAGGCCAGCUCUUGGGCCACCAGUAAGAUGAAAUGAUACUCUUAUCUGCUCCGGUGUCCAUAAUCCCCUCAAAAUCUUUGUUAUUAAUAAAAAGAUGUAGAGUAGGCCUGGCAUUCAAAGGCAUAACUAGAUAGGCUGAAUCGGGGCCAGAAGAACCCAUACCUCUCAAUUCUUUUGUGUUAUCUUUAUCCUUAUCGGGGCUGGGCAAGAAUAUUAAUUGUGCAAUUCUAUCUCCUGGGCUAAUGGAAAAAAAUACCUUGGGGGCAGGAGCAAAGGACUUGAAUGUCUUGCAGGUGUUGGUGGUCCACUACCCCAGGAUGAACCACAAGGCCUUGUAAAGUGAGAGAUCCUCGCCCAAUAAUGAGACCCAUAGUCCGAGGGGGUAAGGGUCUAGGAGACUUAACGGGGAUUGGUUGCACAUUCAUUUGGGGCAUGAGUAAAAAACUGGAGGUGGCACGCAAGUCCACUCCUGUGACUCGUCGGGUGUCAUCUCCUCUGUCCUGCUCUGGCUUUUGACAAAGCGGCUCCCAUAUUUGUGAGGGCCCUGGGAUCGGGGGCCCAGCACCCCGUUUUUUUGACUGUGAGGGAUUAACUUCACCUAUCAGGGGCAGGAGUCUUCCUUUUACAUCUCUGACAGAGCGGCAUUCACUAGCCUUGUGAUAGUCCUUUCCGCAGCGGGAGCAGAGAACAGCUCCUCUUGCGCGUUCAGGUACAGGGCAAUUUCUCUUCAAAUGUCCAGCUUUCCCACAAUUGAAACACGCCUUUUGUUUGUUGACAUUAGGGCGCCUCUGAGAUUGCAAUAUAGCCGCGGCUACUCCCGCAUUGGUGAGAGGGCCUCCUAGCUCCCUACAUAUCUUAAGCCAGUCUUGUAACCCUUUGUUUUUUCUUGGCGUGAUGGCCGCCCUGCACUCUUGGGUGGCUUGCUCAUAAAUGAGCUGUUCAAUUAGAGGUGUGGCUUGCUCGGGGUCGCCAAAGACCCGGGCUGCGGCCUCAGUCAUUCUUGCCACAAAAUCAGAGAAUGGUUCCUGGGGGCCCUGAACAAUCUUUGUAAGGUGACCCCCAGCCUCCCCUUUUCUUGUGCCUUCCAAGCCUUGACCGCAGCUGCACCUAUCUGGGCGUAUGCCCCCCAAGGAUAGUUAAUUUGAUUGGCGGCAUACUGCCCUUGGCCGGUCAACAAUUCAAAGGUCCAUUGUCUCUGGUUGUCAUCAACUGCUGUGGUAUUGGCCCUGGCCUGAUUUUGGGCCGCAUCAUACCAUAGAGCUUUCCAUUCCAUAUAUUGUCCCAUAUUAGGGAGUGUAGCCUUUGCUAUCAUUUGCCAAUCUGACGGGGUCAUGGCCAUAUUGGCGAAUCUCUCGACCUGAACCAGAGUAAAAUUGGCACUGACCCCAUAGUUACGGACAGAUUCAGCAAGUUCUUUAAGUUGUUUAUAAUCCACUGGGGUGUGCAUACGCCCCGCCUCCCCAGUAUCAAAGACUGGAAAUGCCACCUGUAUCUUUUUUAACUCUUCCUGAGGAAAAAAGGAGUUAGCGCUAUACCGCAAUUCAUAAGGCGGUGGCACUGUGAGCACAGUAGCUGGUAUGCUACCCUUUUUAUUACUUCCUGAUCACGACCAUCGGUCAGGGUUAUAUCUUUGUUCUUCAUACUUUGCUGCCUCCUCUAAUUCAGCCUCCUCACUGGGGUCUAGAUCUUCGGACCCUGAACUAUCAAUCUCUAAGGCCUCCAAGUCAUGGAUAGGAUAAAAAUUAGUAUAAGGCUUUUUCUUAGUAGAGGGCUCAGUUUCACUGCCCUUCUUUCUCUCUCCCCUUCCUUCUGAAUCCUGGGGAGGGCCCUUUUUCUUAGACAUGUCUUUCUUUUUUUGAGCUCCCAUUCUCUCGCUCCAUUCGGUUUCUGACAUACUGUCCUGAACCUCUUCUAGUGUUCCCUGUCCCUCCACAAUGGCGGGUCGGCAGGUUUCAUCCUCUAGACAGUUUUUUAUCAGCUUCCAAAUUGCCUUGGUGCCCAGACGUAAGUCUCCCUCUUCAUGCUUACGGUCAAGGUCCCUCCCUAGCUUAUUCCAUGAGGCUACAGUUAGAGACCCCGAACAGGCAUACCAGGGAACAACUCGAUCCACCUCCUUAACAAAGUUCUACAGCGUACAGGAGGCGACCUGCAGGUCGCGUUGCUUUAGCACUGCCUAUAACGCGGUGAUCACUGACUGUGAGGAGCCCAUGAUAGAGUGAGUGCCUGCGGCUGAUCUACGCCUGACUUAUGGUACUCCUUAAGCAAAGUGAAAGUAAACAUGGCACUCUGCUCCCUUAUCUACAGGAAGCUUACAAGAUACCUCGGUGCUGCCGCUUAUCUACGUCAGACUGACCACACCUCAAAUUUCAACACCAGCCUCGAUGAACAGAAUAAGAAACAAUAAGAAACAGAAUGAGGUCCAGGGCAACCAAGACUAGAGCUUCUACCGCCCCUUCCUAGGGUGCAUCUAGAUUAAGACCGAAAUCAAAAGGGAUAAGAGGUUCACGAUCAGACAUACCUCUCCGAACUUACCUUUUCCCUGCAGUUCUGAAUCCACCCCAUCUCCGGGGGUUCUCGAUGCCGGCGAUGUUGAUCCCAGGUUUCCGGCACCAGAUGACCCACGCUACCGUCUCGCCAGCAAGAACGCACGCAGGACAUUCGGAUCCUUCUGCAGUAAAGCUUUAAUGCAUCUCGGGAGAUAGAUGAUCAGCUUCAGGAGAAGAAACCCAGAGAGCAGAAAACCCUUCCCUUAUAUAGACUGCGAAGUACGGUUGGAGACGUGCACCAUCCAGAUUGGCUGCCCACCAUCAGCCCAGAUGACGCCACGGGAGAGGCAGGGCUCAGGUAAUGGAAAGAUACCCUGACGCCUGCGCACACUACUUGUUUUUCAACAUGAGCAACGGAUGUCAGCGCCAUCUUGUAAUGGCUAACUGUGAAGGCGGCUCCUCACAAAGAGAAAAAAAAAAAAACCCUACACUCACUGACCAAAACAACUGUUUCUACUCUUAGACCCAGAUCUGAAAGCUCAUAUGUCACAGAAAAGUUAAUGCCCAAAAGAGAAGAGCCGAAGAGAAAAGGUUUCCUUGGUGGCCAGGGUCAGGAAACAGUCACUCUGCUGAUGUCUGUCAGUGUGGAAAAAAAAAAAAAUACAUGGGAUAAACAAUGUUUCUCUAGGGCCUCUGUUGAUGCAACCACUCCAGACAACCCUUAAGUUGGGUCACACUCUAAUAAAUCGGGGAUUUAAAAGUAGAAAUUGUGUGUGCAAUCUAGGACAGAUUUUUCAGUCAUCAGCUGUAUGUAACUUUUGCUGUCAACAGUGUUGUAUACUGGCACGUGGCCUAUAUGAACCAGGUACACCUGGGAGGCAAGCUGGGGCUGAAAAAGACUUAGAUGGCAAGAGAUUAAUGGAGCCAAGAUGAUUCACUGUUCAAGUGCUUAUAAGGGGGAAAGCCCAUUCCCUUCCCCCAAGUCCACUCUUGGUGCCUGGAGCCAUUCCAUCAGCACUCAGUUGCCAGGCUUCUUGAUGUAUUGUUGCCAAGUUGUUAGCACUUGUCUGCCAGAGCUGUUAGCAGUAAGUCGCCAGUUCCACAGGUAGUCAGCUAUCUCAGGAACAUCUCAGGAAGACAGGUUCAGCCUUUCAGCAGGUAGCAGAAGAGCAGGGCGGUUGUCACUUCAAAAAGGAGUCAGCCAAGUGAGAAAGCUGCACCGCAGGUGGCCCCACCUACCAGCCUGCUUCAGGCUGGGGGAGGCUACACAACAGGUCUGUGCAUUCCUUCCAGCUGGGACACAAGUUUCUGUUGAAAACCUGAAAAGCAGGAUCAAUGGAAGACAGGUUGUACAAGGCAUAGAUGGACCCACAGGCAGUGCUUCUGGGGGCACCAACAGCAGUGGAGCUUGCUAGAGAGAUGCCUCGGACGCUCUACAGUGGGAUAGAGAAGAUGUCUCAAGAUCACUGGAUAUCCAAGUAAGAUUUAAAGCUCUGACCCAUUGAUACAGUCCUGGGUACUCUAUGUGGGAGUGUCUGCAUGAGCGUGGACCCACCUAAAGACGGAUAGAGGAGCAGAGAGUAUCAGUGUCUAAGGCCAUCAGAAAAAUAUUUGUGUUUUCAGAUGGUCUUAGGAACCUGAGAAAGGGAUGGUCAACCUCCAUGGGGGGUCGGGACCCACCGGCUGAGAACCACCACUCUAUGAAGCUGGCCAGAGAUGCCUGUGUUCUUAAUGUUUAGACCCCUGUCCUGCAGCAUGACAAAUGCACCACUUCGCUGUAAUGAAAACAGCUGCAUGUACUUGGCAAAAAGCAUAUUGGAUCCUUCUGACCUCUGCCUUCUGGGCAGAUGCGUGCUGAACAGAAUGCGUAUUCACAUAGCGUCCUGAGGCAUGUGGGUCCAUUUUCAUCUAUAUUGUCUGUCUUCCUCUUGGCAGGCAGCAGGGCCUACAACACUACAGCUUACUAUAAAAGGCUGAUAAACCUGUGACCCACUCUGAUACCUGUAACUCAGGAUACAAUGCAGCUAGAAAAGAACAGUCCUGCUGGAGGUAAAGAGGCACCUGCCAUCACAGGGCUUGGGUCGGGUUGACCGUCUGGCCAGAGGAGCAAGACUCGAUUCUGGAGUGGCUGACGGUCAUGUGGGCCCUUUUGCUGUCUAGACACGAGAUCUGAGUUUUCUAGGGUGUGAGCCUGCUGCCUUCUUAGGCAACAAGCCCUGAAAAUAAGUGAAGUUCUUCAACUCCUGUCUCUGUUCAUUGGCAUUAGUGGUGACAGGCAUUACAAACGCCAGUGUUCUGGUCAUGGGAGACGUUGUCAACAAAACCAGGAUGAAACUAAUAAUGCAGGGCCAGCUGUGUGACCUCCAAAAACAUUGAAUAAGAGAGAGAGAGAGAGAGCUAGCAGAGCUUAUUUAGGUUUUUCCAUCCCAGUAUCACCAUUGGCACCAAAACCAGUUUCUACAUUUAGGAAACCAAAAGGUGCAGCCUACAAAAAGAAAAUAAACACUUAGCAGCUGGACGUGGUAGUGCAGGCCUUUAGUCCCAGCGUUAAGGAUGCAGAGGCAAGCAGAUCUCUGUGAGUUUGAAGCCAGCCUGGUCUACAGAUUGAAUCUAGGACAGCCAGGGCUACACAGAGAAACCCUAUCUAGGGAAAAACAAAAGAGAAGAAAAGAAAAAAAAAAAGAAAUGCUUAGCAGGACAGCUAGCAUCAUAAGCCCCAAACAUUGACCACAGUAUGAAAUAUCGAUGCUCUGAAAGCAAGAAAUGAGGUUAUAAACAUCAGAGGAGAACAGAGUCCACACAAAAAUCCACUAACAAUCAAAAGUUUCAAAUGCAUCAAUAAAAGCUAAGUAGAUGAGGCUGAGGAGAUGACCCAGAGUCUAAGAGAGUGAACCAUUCUUGGAGAACACUCCAAGUUCUGUUUCUAGCACCCACAAUGGGUAGCUUACAACUAUCUAUAGCUCCAGCGCUAGAGAUCAGAUGCCCACAGCAGGCACGCUCACUUGCACUGACCCACACACAGAUCCACAAAUACACACUUAGAUUCUUUAAGGUUGAUUUACUUUUCUGUGUUCAAGUGUUUUGUCUGCAUGUAUAUUUGUAACCUUCCCUCAGCCUGAAACUGGCUGAGCCAGAACUUGACUUUGCUGCCACUAAGGAGAUUAUCUAGGGUGGAGCCUUCCUCCCUAGAUCACUCUAUUGUUCAGCCACUGUCAACUGCUACCUGCUGAGAGCUAUUCCGGAGACUACACCCUAUCUUGCACAUCAUCACCUGCAGCUGGUUCCAAGCUCCAAGGAUGAAUUGGUGGGAAUGGGCCUCCCGCCUUUUUAUAAGCGCAGUCACCAUUAAACAUUUGAACCUUGAACA